CCUCUUUAUAUCAUAAGGUAAAGGUAAAGGCUCCCCUCGAACAUACGUGCUACUCAUUUCCGGCUCUAGGGGGCAGUGCUCAUCUCCAUUACAAAGCCAAAGAGCCAGCGCUGUCCAAAGACGCCUCCGUGGUCAUGUGGCCGGCAUGACUGAACACCAAAGGCGC